rnacentral:lncRNA from 1 species
UCUCAACCAAGAAAACCUUCCCUAUUUAUAUACCAAAACCACACCUCCCUCCCCUCUAGUAUAAUUUGCCUUUCCCUAUUUAUAUACUAGUUUGUGUGUAAUCCAAUUACCUACUCUCAACCAAGAAAACCUUCCCUAUUUAUAUACUAGUUUGUGUGUAAUCCAAGAAAACCUUCCCUAUUUAUAUACUAGUUUGUGUGUAAUCCAAUUACUUACUCUCAACCAAGAAAAGCACCAAGAAAAGCAAGAAAAAUAAGGAAGAACUAUUGGAAAGGCACAGAGGGUAUUGUCACUUUAGCAACUACGCACAAUCUCUGUCGAUAUUCCGUUUACAAUUGCUGUGAAAUUGUCCUUGUUUUUCCGUUCCAAGUUGUUACAAAAGGAGAGAGAAUUGUUGAACGAAUUCCAUGAUUGUUCGCAAAUUAUUUCAUGUUUCGGGAGCAGAUGCUACUGAAAAAAAUGAUAAUAUUCUCUAUAAUAUCUUGCUCGGAUAUGCCAUUGGUGGAAGCUUAGCCGUAGCCGAUAGGAUUGGUAAAAAAGGGUUGCCGAAUUUUGAAUUAAAAGAUUACUCAAAAUCAAUUAUCUUUGAGACUUAGUGUUAUUCAUGGAAGAGGUUUGUUCAUCUUGAUAUUAAACCGCAUAAGAACUGCAAAAAUAGCCGAUUUUGGAUUUCCAAAACAAGUUGAAACUGAGAGUGAGAAAAGAAAGUUUAGAAUUUGGAGAGAAAGAGGAAGGAACUCAAUCCGGUUUCGGUAUUUUAAAACUGACAUCAAAUUUAAUGUAAAGUUGACAUGGAGAAAUGUGAAAUUUUUAAAAGAGAGUGAGUCACACCCACAUGGUCAGCAGGGUUAAAAAUAGCCGAUUUUGGAUUUCCAAAACAAGUUGAAACUGAGAGUGAGAAAAGAAAGUUUAGAAUUUGGAGAGAAAGAGGAAGGAACUCAACCCGGUUUCGGUAUUUUAAAAUUGACAUCAAAUUUAAUGUAAAGUUG